UACAGAGGGUGCGAGCGUUGUUCGGAUUCAUUGGGCGUAAAGGGUGCGUAGGCGGCGCCGUAAGUCAGGUGUGAAAUCUCGGGGCUCAACCCCGAAACUGCACUUGAUACUGCGGUGCUCGAGUACUGGAGAGGAGAUUGGAAUUUACGGUGUAGCAGUGAAAUGCGUAGAUAUCGUAAGGAAGACCAGUGGCGAAGGCGAAUCUCUGGACAGUUACUGACACUGAGGCACGAAGGCCAGGGGAGCAAACGGG
rnacentral:rRNA from 1 species